rnacentral:rRNA from 1 species
AACGCGAAGAACCUUACCAGGUCUUGACAUCCUCUGACACUCCUAGAGAUAGGACGUUCCCCUUCGGGGGACAGAGUGACAGGUGGUGCAUGGUUGUCGUCAGCUCGUGUCGUGAGAUGUUGGGUUAAGUCCCGCAACGAGCGCAACCCUUGAUCUUAGUUGCCAGCAUUCAGUUGGGCACUCUAAGGUGACUGCCGGUGACAAACCGGAGGAAGGUGGGGAUGACGUCAAAUCAUCAUGCCCCUUAUGACCUGGGCUACACACGUGCUACAAUGGAUGGUACAAAGGGCUGCAAAACCGCGAGGUUGAGCGAAUCCCAUAAAACCAUUCUCAGUUCGGAUUGUAGGCUGCAACUCGCCUACAUGAAGCCGGAAUCGCUAGUAAUCGCGGAUCAGCAUGCCGCGGUGAAUACGUUCCCGGGCCUUGUA